CAACAGCCUAAGGAUGAUUCUGCUGACUGUUCCUGCUCACUUGACUGAAAUGGGUCUCAUUGCCAGGUGAUGGGCAUUCUGCACACACAGAAAAUAAGCAAAUAAACGUCUAACAGAUCAACCUGGUUGCAAGGAACCUGUGCUGAUGAGACAUCACUGUCAGCGGGUCUGCUUAUUACAAUCCUCAGAGAAGUUAAUGUCAAGGAUGAGCCAAGACAACCUAAAUGAAGAACUUGAUCACAAUUUCAAAGCUUCAUUUCUUACUGGAAAAUCUUUUGGGGUACAGGACCAAGUACAAUCCACUUCACUAUUUUUCCCACCCGAUGUUACUUU
rnacentral:lncRNA from 1 species